rnacentral:lncRNA from 1 species
UUUGUUAAUUUGUGUCCCUUUUGUUGUUGUUAAUUUAUUUCCAAAGACAUUAUUUUUAAUAAUGCCUUGUAGUACAUUAUGUAAAUAAAGCAUACUUAUUCAAGCAGUUAUUUCCUGUGUAUCCUUGAACAAGUUACUUAACCUGUGUCUCAGUUUUCUCUCAUAUAAUGGGGAAGAAACAGUCUUCCUUACAAAGUCAGUGUAACGACUGAAGAAGGUAAUACAUUUGAAAUACUUAGAAGAGUGCUUGACAUAAACAUUAAAUACGUACUUGCUAUAUGUUAGUUUUGUGCAAAUGCAUCUUUGAAUUUUAAAAUAUUUUUCAUAACUACUAUAAGGAGGAAUUAUGAAGAGUAUUAACAUUUAUAAGGCUCCUAAUCUGUGUGGUCAUAGAACUCUUUAGUAACCCUGUUGUACUUUAUACUUCUUAGCAGGGCACAGAGUCCUUACUUGUCCACAUUGUCUAAAGCAUUACUGCUUUAUUCUCCCCCGCCCAAGCUGACCUCAAACUCACAGUGAUCCUCCUGCCUCAGCCUCCCGACCUCCCGAGUGCUGGGAUUACAAACUUGUGCCACCACACCGGGUUUAUAUUCCUCUCUUUGCUCUUCCCUCAAUAAUUGAGAAUCUGUGAUGCCAUUGAGCUUUUUUAAACCUGGUCUUUCUCCUGUCUGUUCUCAAGAGAUCGACUUUCACUUAGGAAGUUGAUCCUGGUUUACUUUUUGUUUCCCAGCUGAUCCAGAUGGAGACGCCCUGCCGACUGGAAAUGAGUUGCACGCGUUUGCGUUGACUGUGAACUGCUCUGCGCUGUGUUUCUUUCCUGGCAGUGGCUCCCAAGGCCCCGGAUGCAGCAGGCGCUAGUGAGACGCUAACUCGGGGUCUCGGUCUUGUUGCAGAAACUACGCAGAUCGAGGACCCGCGGGUGCAGUGGCGGCGGGAGCAGGAGCACAUGCUCAAGGACUACCUGGUGGUGGCCCAGGAGGCUCUGAGCGCCCAGAAGGAGGUCUACCAGGUGAAGCAGCAGCGCCUGGAGCUCGCGCAGCAGGAGUACCAGCAGCUGCACGCCUUCUGGGAGCACAGGCUGGGCUCCCAGGUCAGCUUGGUCUCUGGCUCAUCCUCCAGCUCUAAGUAUGACCCUGAGAUCCUGAAAGCAGAAAUUGCCACUGCAAAGUCCCGGGUAAGGCCUCUUCACCUUUGUCCAGGUUUGGGUCCAAGCCUUGAACCCAGCCAUAGGCCAGAGUAGAUGCUCAUCCAGCUGUGGUGGCCAGUGCUGACCAACAAGCUCCAAAUGACAGCAGCAGUGGCAGUAGUUGUAGCCCUAGUAACAGCUUCCAUUUCAUGAUUGCCAUAUACCAGCCACAACACUGUGGUCUCUGCUUCCUGUGUACCAUCUCACAUUUUUGCAAUGACACCAUCAAGUAGCUGCUGUCAUUUUCUGCAUUUUAAAAAUGAACAAACAGAGCCUUAGGGGAGCUAAGAAACUUAACCAAGGUCAUGUGAGACUCAAAUCUUCUGCCAAAGUUCUUAGAAUAGUGUAUUUGCUUCCUAGUUUCUGCUUUUUCUGUAUUAUCUUAAUUCUUGAUUACCUUGUGGGGUAAGUAUUAUAAUGCUCAUUUUACUCCCAGGAAAUCUAAGGCACAGCGGUUCAAUGGCUUACUCUUGGUAAAGUCAAUAUUGGGAAUAUUGCUUUAGUUUAACUCAAAGUAGUUACUGCAACUCAGAUGCCUAGAAGAAACCCUACAUGGGGGAAGUCGGGUGGGGAAGAGGCAGGAGAGUCUGGGAUUGCUGACUGGGAGAGGUGUGCCCUAUCUCAGUGGACAGUGGAAUUUCAGCUCUAGUCUGUUUUACCGAUGCCACAAUGCAGGCUCCAUAUUGCCAGAUCUUCAGAGAUCUUUAGAAAGGAAGUGUAUAGCUAGGCUUAUGAUGUGAGAUCUCUGAUAUUUAAUUACUAGCAACUCAUUUUGAAAAUUUAUUAGUACUUGCAGACCAAGCAAGCCUUCCUACAGGCUGGAUCUGGCUCUUGGGCAUGUCUAGCCUCUAAAGUUGUGUGCGUUGUUUUUCAUCCUCGUGUCCUUUCUUUGCUUUAAGUAAUAUGCCCCCACCCCCAGGAUUGCCAUUGUCCUCAUGCAUCAGAACAGGAGAGAGAGCCUCAGAAUGGCUCUGAUGGUUCCAUAGAGACAAGUGGGAAGGCCCAGCUCUGUCCCAAGUGGGUUGGCUUCCUCUACUUGCCAUUUCCCUGGAGCGAGGACCUGCUGGCUGAGACCUAUAGGAGCUCUGGCUGGGAUGCUGCCUGAAUAGGUAGCUGCAAAGACCAGACCCACAGCAGUGAGGGAAGGGUGCUGUGACCAAUGUGGUCCAAGGGACGAUGGCCUGAGUCUUUAUGCAGAACCAGCAGGUUGCUCUGGGCCCCCCUUUGUGGCCUGCAGCUCUGUGUCUGCCUCUGAUCCAGCCCCUAUGUGCUUUUCUGCCCUCCAGGUCAAUAAGCUGAAGAGGGAGAUGGUUCACCUGCAGCAUGAGCUCCAGUUCAAAGAACGAGGCUUUCAGACCCUGAAGAAGUGAGUCCACCCUGCCAGGCAGGACAUAGCUGGACAUAGUGCCGGCUCCUCCAAUGCCCUCUCUGUCUCUUUCCUUUAGGCACUUUCUUCACUUCUAAAUGUGGCUGUCUAAUCAUUCUAUUCAAGUUCUCUUCUACUGGCAUUUAGGAAGAUUCCAUCACCCAAGGGUGGUGUUUGGGGCAGAAGAGGAGAAUUAUUUCAGACCACAGAACUCUCAUUGUCCUCUGAACUCCUGAAGCCAUUAAAGUCUAUUCCAUUCAGCUGAGUCCUACGAUCCAGUCACAGAAGCAGGUAUUGUCAGUCGUGUCUGCACACACGACUGACCCAUCUACUCCAUAGAUCAGUGGUCUCACGUGCACACAAACAAAACUCUUUGCUUCCAUGGCCCCUGAACAUGAGCCACUACUUCAAAUAGUGCUCCACCAAAGGAACAGCACUCUCUUCUCAGGACAAAGUGCUAGAGAAGCGGGCACAGGGCCACAUACAUGGUCUUUUAUGGGAGUUUCCAGGUUUACUUCGGCCAGAUGUCAUUUUCACUCUUAAAGACUGGCUUGCAGCCAAAUGCGAUGCAGCUUGUUUGUCUCUUAAGAGCAGUUGUGUUAACUGUCACGGUCGUGAUUAUACUAGCUGAGAUUUGCUGAGCAAUGACUCCUUCCAUGCUCCUGUGUGAGUAGACUCAUUUGUUCCUUGCAGCACCUCUGUAAGCAGUGUUCUUCUAGCUAACCCUAUUCUGUGGAUAAGGAAACUGAGCUCAUAUAGCAAGUGCUCAAUAAAUGUUAGCUUGUUGUUACUGUGAACCACAGCGUAUAACUGGGACUUCCUCAAUGAAUUGUGUUCAGUGUCUCUGGUGGCUCAUUGGAUGGUCAUUUCUAAGGUCACCUGGUAGCACCAGUCCAGGCACCCUCUCCCUUCUAACAGGCAUAUUUCACUUAGAGUCCCAAGGAGGGUGCCCUUGUGUAAACAGCUAUUCCUGUAGUCACUUGCUGUUUCUCUAUCCCUGACCAUACUUUUCCUCAUCCACUGAGCCCCAAAUCUACCCCUACCACUCAACGGCCUCGACCCCAAGUCUCAGCUGGCUGUCUGCAAGUCCUGUUAACUCUUGAGCUGCGGCUUGCAUUUGAUGGGCUGGUUGGUUCUUCCAUCCUUCCAUCCCACAAGCCCCUGUCAACCGGAGAGCUGCCAUGACUCCAGCAAAAUGCAUGAUACAAGAAAGAAAGACCUAAGUGGGAAUAUAGCUCAGGAAUGAGUGCUUGGCUAGCAUACAUGAGAAUCUGGGUGUGAUCCCCAGCACUGGGGGGAGAAAAAGGAAAAUAAAAGAAAAAAAGAAAGUUUUAGAAGUAUGAUGCAUUAUAAAUUGCACAUAAUGUUUUCAUG